rnacentral:snoRNA from 1 species
UUGCCCAGUGAUUAUAAAAAGACGCGUUAUUCUGAGGAUUACAACCAGCUACUGUUCUCUCCUCUUUGUCUCACUCUGUAUUUUAUCUAUCUACCUAAUCUAUUCUCUACUACUUCACGCUCUCUUCUUUCCCCUCAAGCCAGUAGCUGGUCCAGUGACUGCGAUUAUGAGAUAUGAGGGCAA